UGAGGAAUAUUGGUCAAUGGACGAGAGUCUGAACCAGCCAAGUAGCGUGAAGGAUGACUGCCCUAUGGGUUGUAAACUUCUUUUAUACGGGAAUAAAGUGCAGUAUGUAUACUGUUUUGUAUGUACCGUAUGAAUAAGGAUCGGCUAACUCCGUGCCAGCAGCCGCGGUAAUACGGAGGAUCCGAGCGUUAUCCGGAUUUAUUGGGUUUAAAGGGAGCGUAGGCGGAUGCUUAAGUCAGUUGUGAAAGUUUGCGGCUCAACCGUAAAAUUGCAGUUGAUACUGGGUGUCUUGAGUACAGUAGAGGUAGGCGGAAUUCGUGGUGUAGCGGUGAAAUGCUUAGAUAUCACGAAGAACUCCGAUUGCGAAGGCAGCCUACCGGCUCCAGACUGACGCUGAGGCACGAAAGCGUGGGGUAUCGAACAGGAUUAGGAUACC
rnacentral:rRNA from 1 species